ACGGUGAGAGAGAGAGAGAGAGAGAGAUAGAGAGGAGAAGAUAAGAAGCAAAAACAGAAAAGGCUGCUCCACUCUCACGAAUUGGAGAAGAAAGAAAGCUCUCCCCCCCACCCUGUCUCUCUCUCUCUCUCUGUCUCUCUCAUAUGUAUGUAAUGUAUAUUGUUCAAGAUCUCUAGACAGUUUUGUAAUAUUAUGGUUUUAUAAACCUCCUCUGUAGUUUAUUAUAA